AUACGUAAUAUGAAUUGCAGAUAUUCGUGAAUCAUCGAAUCUUUGAACGCACAUUGCGCCCUCUGGUAUUCCGGAGGGCAUGCCUGUUUGAGCGUCGUUUC
rnacentral:rRNA from 1 species